AGUCACUACUUACGUAAAGCAAACAUCCAAGAAGGAAAGCUCCCAGCCUGAGCCUGCAGUGGGAGCUGAGGAAGGCGUUGACACAACUCCGAGAUUUCAUCUUCCAAAGGACAGCCCAACUCCCGUGUAUACAGGGAAGACCCGGAAAGAUUUUAAAAGAAAUGAAAAAAUUUCUGUAGAACCCAAAGAAAUAAAGGCCUUCUGCGAUAGCACUUGGAUGAUGCUUGGUUGUGUGAAUACCACUGUUACACCUCCCCACCACCCUGUGAGUUCCCAGAGAAAAGGCAUCUUUGGUGCAAGUUUUCCUCCUCACCCUUAGCAAAGGGCUGAGCACUGAAGAGGGUCUCGGUGAAUGCUGUGAAAAGUGAAUUCUAUGAGCUUCUUCUGAUUCCACAAGAUGGACCUCUACCUCUGAAUGAAUUCUCACUCUUCAUUUAAACAAGUUACGAUCACGAUGUAGCUCUCAGCUACUGCUCCAGUGCCAUGAGUGCUGCCAUGCUCCCUGCCAUGAGGAUAAUGGACUAAGCCUCUGAAACUCUGUCGAGAAGAGCAUGACUACCAGAACCUGAGCUUUCCUGCCGGCUGCUCCAGCUUCCCAUCCAAGCCCACUGAAAACACCAGUCGGUUCUAGGGGUAAGGAGACCAUCCACACUUCUACAGUGAACCAAACACUGGUCCUAAAGUGAAAUGCCCCCGACGGGAAAUCUGAGGGAGGAAAAACAAACAAACAAACAAAACACAGACUCAAAAUCUUAUGAAAAUAGCUGCAAACAAGUUGAAGCAACUUUGGAAGUUGGACUUACAUGGACGUUUGUGCUUACAUGCGUGCAAACAUGCCCAAAUCCCCAGAACUGAAGUGUGAAUAGUGUGGUGCUUAACCUGCAAAAAGGGAGGCCCAUUGGAAUUACAGUACAGAACGGAGAAGCAGAGCUGGCUAAAACGCAACUGUGGAAUCCUUACCAAAGACAUUAAAGUGUGAAAAAAUCAGCAAAAUGGGGUCAACUGCCUUAAGACAAAAACAGAAAGAGAAGUGAUCACAUAAAGGGAUGGAGCUGGCAGCUGCCCUGAGCUCAGAGGCGGAAUAAGAGUUCAGAGCAAGAACAGCUCUGUCCGUGGAAUGAAGAGCAGAUAGUCCUGGGUUUAUUUGCCUGAACUCAAGUGGGAUUCGGCUGAUUUGCCCUCAAGCAGAAGUGAGGAGAAAUCACAAAGGAUUAUAGAAGAUGGGAAAAGCAGAAGAUGGCCUAAGGUAUAUGGACAUGUGUCACAGUUUGCUUUCUGUUGCUGGGAUAAAAACCACAAAGCAACUUAGGAGACAAAAGGCUAAUUUUAGUUUAUACUUCCAAGUCACAGUCCAUCACUGGGGGACAUCAGAAGCAGAGGCAGGAACCAAGGGAGAAGUCUACUUACCAUCUUGAUCCCUAAUUUCUACUCAGCUACUUUCUCGCAUAUCCCACACUCCCUGAUGGGUCCUGCCCACGGUGGACUGGGUCACAUCAAUCAACAAUCAAGAAAAUGGCCCCACAGACAUGCCUACAGGCUGAUCUGAUUAAGACAGUCCUCUAAUUGAGACUCCCUCGGGUAACUGGGCUGUAUCAAGUGACAGCUCAAGCUAACCAGAAGAAUAGGAAACCUCAGAUGCCUAAAUGGAUUCUUGUUUCUCAAAGAACAUUUUGUAGGUGUGAAAUUCUAAAUGGCUUUGUGCAAAUUAAUGGAUUUUGUCCAUUUGCUUUGCUUUUUCUUUAAUUUUCUUUCUCUUUCUUUCUUUCUUUCUUUCUUUCUUUCUUUCUUUCUUUCUUUCUUUCUUUCUUUCUUUCUUUCUUUCUUCCUUUCUCUGUGUAGCCCAGGCUGUCCUGGAACUUGCUUUGUAGACCAGGCUGGACUUAAGCUCAGAGAUUCACCUGCCUCUGCCUCCCAAGGGCAGGAAUUAAAGGCGUGCACCACCAUCACCUGGCUAAAGACAGAGUUUUGUUUGUUUGUUUGUUUGUUUUUCUGUUUUCAAGAGUUUAGUCUCUCUAUGCAGCCCCAGCUAUCCUGGAACUCUCUCUGUAGACCACUAUCUGUUUUCUUUGCUCAGAAAAACAAAGAUGUUCCUAUAAGUCAGGAUUGUCCAGAGAAACAAAAGCAUUAAGUUGGAGCUAGAACAGGGAGUGCCUCUCAAGUAUGUAAUCCCAGCCCUCAGGAGGCUGAGGCAGGAGGAUCAUCAUGAGUUUAAAGCUGCUUGGGCUACAUAGUGAGUUCUAGGGCAGUUUGGGCUACAGUCAGAUCUUAUCUCCAAAAUAAUGGCUGCAGAAAGAUAAACUGAUUGAUCGAUUCUAAGGAAGCCAAGUGAUUAAAGAUUUUAUGAAGGGUCAUCUACUCUACUCAGUCUAAUGGUUUAAAUUAUUAGCUCAUCUAAAAAAAUAUACCUUCAUGGCAAGACCUAGAGUAACAUUUCAUCAAAUAUCUCAGUAUCUUAUUCUGGCCAGGUUGACAUAUAAAAUUACCCACUGCAAUAUCAUGCUUUCCAUCCCCAAAGUUCUCUACAAGAAAAGUAAAGCGUUACUGUAUUUUGUGUGAUCUUAUUGUUUCAAGCAUCAUUUCGACUCUGAGACAUUACAAGAAAAUUUACUGUUUACACUACUUGGACACUGGAAGGAAAGUCAUUAUUUCCAAAGCUUUGGCCCCUUGCCUUCCCUUCAUGACACAACAUGUGUGACAGCUGAUAUAAUAAACAAUUUGAUUUCUCCUACUUGGUCCAUCCUGGGCUGGAAAAAGUGCAAGACUGAUGGUUUUCUCUGGCCCACAUCUUACCAUUAUUUGCAACACUGUGUCUAUGAAGAAACCCUAAACCUCAAAACAGCUGUUAGGGAGAGGGAGGGGGUGGAGAAGUUGACCAUUGUACACUAGUUUACAGUUAGAUAGGGGUUCGGAAGCCCUGGUGGUGUCGCACAGCUCAUGGUCCAUAGAUGACAGUCACCUAGUGUUCGUCUCCAAAAGGAAGAGUAAUAAAUGUUUUUACCAGGAGGAAAGGAUAAAUAAUUGAGGGAACGUGUUUAACACAUUGCAUAUGUAUACAAAGAUAUACAUAUGGAGACACUGUACAGGUUCUUCAUUGGUGUAUAUAAUCCUUAUGUUUCUGUAUAACAGUUUGAGAAAGUAAAUAAAGAAACAGGAUAACUCCUGU